GGGACAGGGUGGAGGGGACACACAGGACUACCCUUACAGCCUCUGUAUGUAAGAAGGGUAUCACGUUAUGUAUGUCGGCUGAAUGCUGCAUAAUUGACAUUUGACUGCAUGGAAUAGAGUUCUGGGCUGCCAGUGUUACGUGUGUUGGGUGUGCAACUAGCCCCCAGCAGAAAAGUGCUAAUUACUGGUUCUGCAGUGUUUCAAAUUAAC